rnacentral:rRNA from 1 species
UACGGGGGGGGCAAGCGUUGUUCGGAAUUACUGGGCGUAAAGGGCUCGUAGGCGGCCAACUAAGUCGGAUGUGAAAUCCCCAGGCUUAACCUGGGAACUGCAUCCGAUACUGGAUGGCUUGAAUCCGGGAGAGGGAUGCGGAAUUCCAGGUGUAGCGGUGAAAUGCGUAGAGAUCGGCAGGAACACCCAGGGAGAAAUCAGCCGCCUGGGCAAGUGCUGACGCUGAGGUGCGAAAGCGUGGGGAGCGAACCGG